UGAGCUACAGCCAUGACCUACUUUUU
rnacentral:piRNA from 1 species